UAGGUCAAAACUGCAGACAGUGUAACAUCCAAGUGUUGACAUAUUUCAACCUUCUGUACAGAAAAUAACAAAUAUAACUCUAGCAGCAAGCCUCCCCCAAAGGGCUUCCCAUUACAUCCAAUUGUUUACUAUUACCUCAGUCUCAGCCCCUUUCCAACUAGAGUGCAACUAAGGACACCAAUUGUUUGUUCUUUUCCUCAUGACC